rnacentral:rRNA from 1 species
UACGUAGGGGGCAAGCGUUGUCCGGAUUUAUUGGGCGUAAAGAGCGUGUAGGCGGCUAUACAGGUCCGUUGUGAAAACUGGAGGCUUAACCUCCAGACGUCGAUGGAAACCGUAUGGCUAGAGUCCGGAAGAGGAGAGUGGAAUUCCUGGUGUAGCGGUGAAAUGCGCAGAUAUCAGGAAGAACACCCGUGGCGAAGGCAGCUCGCUGGGACGUGACUGACGCUGAGACGCGAAAGCGUGGGGAGCAAACAGG